UUUACCUCACAGGGUGCCAGUACAAGUUAUGCAGCCUCCUGGGGAAUUCAGUGAUGCUCCUUUGUGGAUAAGCAAGGCACAAGCGAACUCUGCCUGAAGUGCCUUAUGCAGUUCUUGGUCACCUGUCAUGAACAAACACAAGGCUUAUAUUACAUUCUGGAGAAGAGAAAACAAUCAAGAAGAUGCAUAAGUGGAAUCCCUGAGUAAACAUGUUUAAGUUGGGACAGGUUUUUUCCAGAACAAUGGAAGAGAUUACUUACUAUUUUUAAGUCUAAAAAAAUUAAGGCAUAGCCAAGAAAUGAGAGGAGGAGCAAGGAUGCCAAUGAAAGAUACACUUAGACUUUUUGUUAAGUGUUUUGUGAGGAAGAAGUUCUGUUUGAUGUACAUUAUUUUUCUUGUUUGACAUCUGCCUUGAAUUAGAAGACAACUAUUUAAUUUUUUUUCAAUUUUCUAGUAGGUUGUGACUUCAUGAUAAAAAAUAAAUAAUAUCAUUUUGCUUUGUGUUAAAUUCUGAAGUUAGCAGUAGAAAUCAAUUAUGAAAUUCCAUCUGUGUC